AUUGAACGCUGGCGGCAGGCCUAACACAUGCAAGUCGAGCGGCAGCACGGGUACUUGUACCUGGUGGCGAGCGGCGGACGGGUGAGUAAUGCCUAGGAAUCUGCCUGGUAGUGGGGGAUAACGCUCGGAAACGGACGCUAAUACCGCAUACGUCCUACGGGAGAAAGCGGGGGACCUUCGGGCCUCGCGCCAUUAGAUGAGCCUAGGUCGGAUUAGCUAGUUGGUGAGGUAAUGGCUCACCAAGGCUACGAUCCGUAACUGGUCUGAGAGGAUGAUCAGUCACACUGGAACUGAGACACGGUCCAGACUCCUACGGGAGGCAGCAGUGGGGAAUAUUGGACAAUGGGCGAAAGCCUGAUCCAGCCAUGCCGCGUGUGUGGAGAAGGUCUUCGGAUUGUAAAGCACUUUAAGUUGGGAGGAAGGGUAGUAACUUAAUACGUUGCUACUUUGACGUACCG
rnacentral:rRNA from 1 species